ACGCUAGCGGCAGGCCUAACACAUGCAAGUCGAACGAUACUCUUUAGCUUGCUAAGGAGGAAAGUGGCGCACGGGUGCGUAACGCGUAUGCAACCUACCUUAAUCAGGGGGAUAGCCCGAAGAAAUUCGGAUUAACACCGCAUAAAAUCACAGUACAGCAUUGUACAAUGAUCAAAUAUUUAUAGGAUUAAGAUGGGCAUGCGUGACAUUAGUUAGUUGGCGGGGUAACGGCCCACCAAGACCACGAUGUCUAGGGGAUCUGAGAGGAUGACCCCCCACACUGGUACUGAGACACGGACCAGACUCCUACGGGAGGCAGCAGUAAGGAAUAUUGGUCAAUGGAGGCAACUCUGAACCAGCCAUGCCGCGUGCAGGAAGACAGCCCUCUGGGUCGUAAACUGCUUUUAUUCGGGAAUAAACCUACUUACGUGUAAGUAGCUGAAUGUACCGAAGGAAUAAGGAUCGGCUAACUCCGUGCCAGCAGCCGCGGUAAUACGGAGGAUCCAAGCGUUAUCCGGAUUUAUUGGGUUUAAGGGUGCGUAGGCGGCUUUUUAAGUCAGGGGUGAAAGACGGUGGCUCAACCAUCGCAGUGCCCUUGAUACUGAAGAGCUUGAAUGAAUUAGAGGUAGGCGGAAUGUGACAAGUAGCGGUGAAAUGCAUAGAUAUGUCACAGAACACCGAUUGCGAAGGCAGCUUACUAUGAUUUUAUUGACGCUGAGGCACGAAAGC
rnacentral:rRNA from 1 species